rnacentral:rRNA from 1 species
GACGAAAGUCUGACGGAGCAACGCCGCGUGAGUGAUGACGGCCUUCGGGUUGUAAAGCUCUGUUAAUCGGGACGAAAGGCCUUCUUGCGAAUAGUUAGAAGGAUUGACGGUACCGGAAUAGAAAGCCACGGCUAACUACGUGCCAGCAGCCGCGGUAAUACGUAGGUGGCAAGCGUUGUCCGGAAUUAUUGGGCGUAAAGCGCGCGCAGGCGGAUAGGUCAGUCUGUCUUAAAAGUUCGGGGCUUAACCCCGUGAUGGGAUGGAAACUGCCAAUCUAGAGUAUCGGAGAGGAAAGUGGAAUUCCUAGUGUAGCGGUGAAAUGCGUAGAUAUUAGGAAGAACACCAGUGGCGAAGGCGACUUUCUGGACGAAAACUGACGCUGAGGCGCGAAAGCCAGGGGAGCGAACGGGAUUAGAUACCCCGGUAGUCCUGGCCGUAAACGAUGGGUACUAGGUGUAGGAGGUAUCGACCCCUUCUGUGCCGGAGUGAACGCAAUAAGUACCCCGCCUGGGGAGUACGACCGCAAGGUUGAAACUCAAAGGAAUUGACGGGGGCCCGCACAAGCGGUGGAGUAUGUGGUUUAAUUCGACGCAACGCGAAGAACCU